CAGCAGUGAGGAAUAUUGGUCAAUGGCCGGGAGGCUGAACCAGCCAAGUCGCGUGAGGGAAGACGGCCCUACGGGUUGUAAACCUCUUUUGUCAGGGAGCAAGGGGCAGGUCGUGACCUGUUGUGAGAGUACCUGAAGAAAAAGCAUCGGCUAACUCCGUGCCAGCAGCCGCGGUAAUACGGAGGAUGCGAGCGUUAUCCGGAUUUAUUGGGUUUAAAGGGUGCGCAGGCGGAGGCACAAGUCAGCGGUAAAAUCGCGGGGCUCAACCCCGCUCCGCCGUUGAAACUGUGUCCCUUGAGUGCGCGAAGGGUAGGCGGAAUGCGUGGUGUAGCGGUGAAAUGCAUAGAUAUCACGCAGAACUCCGAUCGCGAAGGCAGCCUACCGGCGCGCGACUGACGCUCAUGCACGAAAGCGUGGGUAUCGAACAGGAUUAGA
rnacentral:rRNA from 1 species